CCAGCUGCCUCCCAGCCAAGCUCUGAGUCAGUGGGGGCUGUGGGCCACACCCACUGUUUGAAGUUCUGGAUCACACACACCCUAGAGUCACUGGCUGAAUGCCUGCCUGCCACUGCUGCCAGCACUAACUUCAAGUGUCCUGUCUCAGUGAGCUGUUAUGUGUACACCUGCAGGCUUCUGUAGUUUUACCCUGUUUUAAAAUGGCACCUGCCCUCUCUCAGCUGGAUCACAGUUUCUGUUUUGGAGUGAUUCGUUGGAAUUGGACAACCCUCUACACUUCCACUAGGACCACUGACAACUGCCAGCAACUACCAGGACCCUGGACUCCAGUCUGGACACACACCAUAUUCUCUCUCUGCUCUAACCUCAUGGCCUAUAAGGUUUCUGAUUCGAAAUCAACUGUCCAUCUAAUUGGAGAUCCUCUGAAGGCAAUAUGGCAUUUCUCUCAGAUCUUGCUGCUGCUGAGUGUGGGCACCAGAAGAUCAUGGAAAAACUCCACCUUGAGACUCCGACCAACACUGCUUGGCACCCAGUGCUUACCUCAUCGAUGAACAUGUACUCCCAUUUUGCCACUACUCAAGCUCUAUGGAGAAGUUCCACAGCCACCAUAGCCUUCAGAAUGAAAUUAGAAAUGCUAAGGGGCCACUGUCAUCACCAAGCCAAAGA